rnacentral:misc_RNA from 1 species
CGUGCACCGCUGCUGCCGGAAUCAGCGGGCAGGCGUGAGCAUGUAGCGAUCUCUUCCUUUUUGUUGGCUUUCUUUUGCUGCCGGCAAGAGACGGCGGCUCGGGGCGGCGGUUCCGCGUCUGCUUCCGGCUGCCUCGUUUUUUAUCCUCAACAGGCCGGGCACCAGCAGGUUGCAUCUGAUUUUCUGGUCGUGCAAGGGACACCGGCACCACGCCUGGACGCCGGCCAUACCCAGUCAUUAUCCACCAAAUACUCAAGACGUGCGUGCGUCAAUCGAACAUCAAGCGCGGUGUUACAUGCAAAUGGCAGCGUUGUGGAUGGCGUUGUUGAAUCGACAAAAUUGCACGUGGAUAUUGGCAACUGAAAACACCACUAGAAGAUUAGCAUGCCAUAAUGUUCCGUUUUAUUAAAAUCAAAUCUUUCGCCGAUGAACCAUCGUCGGAAAUGUUCACAUGCAUGCGAGCACCUUCUGAGUGAGACUAAGCGAACAAAAAUAGCUUACCAAGGAUCCUUUUAGAGAUGAAAAAACAACAAAGCCUUUCAACGGCACGAACACUAAUAAACCACACAUGGUGGCCACCACAAAAAAUGGAAGCAUAUGCAACUAUUGGGG